GAGAAGAAGAAGAAGAAGAAGAGGGGGCAGGCAGCUGGUGACAGCCGAAGUGAACCGCUCCCCCCAGCAGCAGUCAGUAAACUGGAUCAAACAGAGACGUUACCGGACAGGUCGAUGGAAACACAGUUGUAACGUUUACGGUUCACGGGAGGCACGUUUUACAACUUUGAUCUGACUGGCUGACGCUAGUUGGUUGUUCCUGGCGCUGGUUCAAGUCAUGUUAUCGUUGGUGACAAACUGAGUGAAACACUGUUGCUUCGAGUUUAGCAUAGGUAACGUUAACGUUAGCUACAACGUUAGGUGUUAGCUAGGUAACCUCGGUGUUUACGGUGGCAUCGAGUAGCCCGUUGCUGUAGCCUGUCGCGUUAUUGACAAAACGCCAGGUGGUCGGGUGCUUUGUAAAGAUGGGUGACAUAAACCCAUCGACAUCUCAUGCAUUUCAGUCGGAGGGUUUCAGUCCGCCGUACAGGAGGAGGACAGUAGAGGAUUUCAACAAGUUUUGCACUUUUGUCUUGGCCUACGCCGGUUAUAUUCCAUACCCCCAAGAGGACUCUCCACUGCGCAGUAGUUCCAGCCCCCCCAACAGUACAGGCAGCACAGCUGACAGUGAUGGCUGGACCCCAGGACCCCCAGCCUCCUGUCCCCAGCGCCCUCCCAAGGUCCCCCAGGACAGGAGCAGGAAACGUCCACAGCCAGGAGCCACGCUGUCCAGUCACACCAAGAAAGAUCACACAAUCACCACCCUGCAUCCAGAUGACCGAAGGAAAGCUGACAAGCUGAAGAAGAAGAAGAGGAGAAAGGAGAGGGAGCAUCAGGCUGGUGAGGAAAGUGAGGCUCAGCAGGGCCACUCGACAGCCCCACAGCUGGAGUACCCCGUCUCCUUUGGUGGCCGAACAAUCAAAGAAGAGCCAGAAGAUGAUAUCAGCAUUCCCCUCCACCCCCAGCGUCUGCCUAGCCCCUCCCCCUGCAAGGAGGAGCCCAAGGAGGAGCGUCGAUACUGGGAUGGUCGAGACCUUGAAGAAGGAGUGGUAAAGGUACAGAAGGUGGAGGGCUUUUCAGGAAACAGAACGGUGUUCCGCCAGGGGAAACAGGUGGUGUUCAGAGACGAAGAUGGAUCAGGAGAGGAUGAGGACAUCAUGGUAGACUCAGAUGACGACUCGUGGGAUCUGGUCACGUGUUUCUGCAUGAAGCCUUUUGCGGGUCGGGCCAUGAUCGAGUGUAACAAGUGUCACACCUGGAUCCACCUGUCGUGUGCUAAGAUCCGCAAGAGCCACGUGCCAGAGACAUAUGUGUGCCAGAGCUGCCGAGAGACACAUGGAGUCCAGGAUGCCCGUCGCUCCCACCGCUCACGCGUAGGCCCACGCAAACACCUGCUAGACUGACCCCAAGCUGAACCUUGAACUCUGACCUCCCUCCCUCCUUCCUCCCUUGCCUCUCCCCCACCUGUUGGACUCAUUCUUCCUCAAUAUCAGGAGAUCACAGUGCAUUUUUGAGAGAGACCGGUCUUUCUAUAACACUCUGGAAAUCAACCGCCACAUCUUUUUUGUUCACUUUUAUUGUAGUCUUUACAGGACAGAGAACACAGGCUCCUCAACCAUUCGGUACGUUUACAUAAUGUGGGUCAGUUUGGGUGGUGGGUUGGAAUGUAACAGCAGGGAGCAGACUUUCUGCUGGCCUCACGGUGGCACUAGAGCAGAGGUGACCAGCUGACCUGUCAAAAUAAUUUACAGCACAGCUACAGACUAACAAGAGGAGACAAAUACUACAAACAGAAUCAGUGCAAAAUGGCUGCAGUAAUAGUGACCCCAAGCCAAGACCAUUAUUUCUCUGUAGGGACGGGCAGAGACAGACAUCCCUCCAUCUUACCACUGAUGGCAAAAUCAGAUUCAAUCAGGGGAAGAUGCCAUAUCAAGGAGCAGUCACUGUUUCUUGGAUGCACCCUAUGGAGUUCAGUGUAAGGUGUAGAGCUACUAUUAGAGGCUUUAGUGCCACUUUCAUGAUAACAUUUGCUUUAAAUACUGUACAGUUUGUGCAAAAUAUUACCUCUGAAAUCACAAAAAUACCAUUUUUAUCCAACAGUAGUGUGUUUCUGUAGUUCAUUAAAGACUUCCCAGAGAAAAUGAGGAAUAACUUGACUAGCUCUCACCUUCCCCUCUGCAGUUACAGUACCACUGUACAUACUGGCAAAUAAUACAUCAGUAUGAGGUUUAAACUUUAGGACUUCUGUGCUACAACACCUAUAUCUCAACAGAAAGUGCAUCACAGGAUAUUAGAUUUCCCCAGGUCAGCCACACCACAUCAGUCAGAAAUAUAGCUACCAGUGGUGAGUCACUGACUGUGGAUUAUCACCUAAAUGACAGGCAUUAAAACAAUGGAUGAAAAAUACGCUUUUAGCAUCUUAUACAAUACUUUAAGUAGUGUCAUUGCAUUUAAGAUUAAUUCAGCUGAGAAUUUUAAAAAAUAAAAAAGGGAUGGAGAAUGAUAGAAAAUUAAAAGUGGCACAAAAAUAGUGUAAACAUUAACAUUAACUAAAUUCAAACAAAUGAAUGUAAUCAUGUUAAUGUGCCAUAAUCAGUGAAAUGGUUUUAGUGUGGCUCAGGUCAGCUCCAGCUUAAGCAGCAAACACAACCUACAAGAGGGAAAGUGUUGAUCUGCGCCCUCUACUGGUCACAUCCCAACCACAAAACAAGAUUCUUGAAAAGCAAGUUUCAAAUCCAUACCAGUAGUCACUGUUAAUAGAUAUACACCAGUGACGUACAAAGUGUAGCCUUCACUGUAUUAAAAAAUCAUAGUAAGAAAUUCAGAUUUGUCUGCAACUGCACAGAUAUAAUCAAUAAACAGUGACGUAAACCAAACGUCUGCCUUUAAAUUGCAGUCUUGUCUGAGAUGUUAAAAAAAAAAAAAAAUCUGAAUAGUGAAUUCAAGCUUGUCUCGCUACCAUCAGAGGGCAUCACUUUCAUCACUUUCCCUCCCUGUGCAAACUAUCCCUCUACUUCCAAGUCCGAACCCUCACAGAUAUAAGUUUUGAGCACCAAUUUGUACCUGCUGACUGGCACCCAAACGAGCAGCAGACAUGUCACUGAAAGGCAUAAUAAAUAGAUUAGGAUGAGACAUGUUCACAUCUGUUACAAAAUCAUUCCUCAGUCCUGGCCAGCCUCAGGGUCACAGACAUGAGACAUGAUCCUGCAUAGUGUUACUCUAAACAUUUGCAUGUAACAUUAUUAGAUUCAAAACUACAGGGGUGGUCAUACACAUAAAGGACAAAGACUACAGUAAUAUGGGAUAAACUUACAGCACAGCUUGUUUGUAUACGCUUGACAUAACAAAUGUCAAGAAACAUUUUUAAAUUUAUCCACAUUUGUUUAGCUCAUCGUUAAAGGGAGUGGCCACCACGUCCGCGGUGAAUACAGGUCCCUCUUUGUAGUGCAUAUAUAUGUAAAACUAUGUUCAGGGUCGAUGUCUGAUCUCCUGUAGCAGACAGAUAUGUGAGAAUCCCCGCCAGGUGUGGCCGACUAGAGACUCAAAAGGGUGACACCUUGUAGAAAACUCUGAGCUGACUCCUGUUUUUCGCUGAACCAGGGAGAUGGCCCCACGGGGAGAGGGAGGAGUGGGGGGAGUCGAUAAACGGAUUGACUAAUACCAUGACAGAGGAGGACUGGAGGAGAGAGACUGACUUAUUUUUGAUGUGUCCUCUCUUU